GACGAACGCUGGCGGCGUGCCUAAUACAUGCAAGUCGAGCGGACAGAUGGGAGCUUGCUCCCUGAUGUUAGCGGCGGACGGGUGAGUAACACGUGGGUAACCUGCCUGUAAGACUGGGAUAACUCCGGGAAACCGGGGCUAAUACCGGAUGCUUGUUUGAACCGCAUGGUUCAAACAUAAAAGGUGGCUUCGGCUACCACUUACAGAUGGACCCGCGGCGCAUUAGCUAGUUGGUGAGGUAACGGCUCACCAAGGCAACGAUGCGUAGCCGACCUGAGAGGGUGAUCGGCCACACUGGGACUGAGACACGGCCCAGACUCCUACGGGAGGCAGCAGUAGGGAAUCUUCCGCAAUGGACGAAAGUCUGACGGAGCAACGCCGCGUGAGUGAUGAAGGUUUUCGGAUCGUAAAGCUCUGUUGUUAGGGAAGAACAAGUACCGUUCGAAUAGGGC
rnacentral:rRNA from 1 species